rnacentral:rRNA from 1 species
CACACAGGGGAGUAACAGUUAGAAAUGACUGCUAAUACCGCAUAAGCGCACGGUACCGCAUGGUACAGUGUGAAAAACUCCGGUGGUGUGAGAUGGAUCCGCGUCUGAUUAGGUAGUUGGUGAGGUAACGGGCCCACCAAGCCGACGAUCAGUAGCCGACCUGAGAGGGUGACCGGCCACAUUGGGACUGAGACACGGCCCAA